AAUACUUCGCAUACCACGUCAAUUCCGUUUGGUCGCUUCUGCAUACAAAUGCAAAUUUCUGCAAUAACUUGAGGCUGACCUAAAAAUUGAGUUUUAGUUUUUAUUACGGCACAUUUCCGAUUUUAUGUCCUCGUAUGAGGUUCGUCGACUUGUAGGGCGGAUAAUAAUUACGCCCCCUGGUGGCCAUUUCUGAAACUCCAGAAUAAUUUCCAUCAUUUUGAAUCAGAAAAUUGCAAUGGUAAGUCAAUAACUUCAAUUAAAAAUUCUUUUUUUUUCCUCUUCAACCUGAAUAUCAUUUCCAAAAACUACAACAACGCAUUUGCGGUAUCAAUUUUGAGUAAGUGAUCAUUGGCAUAAUUAUAAAAGUUAGUUAUAUCGGAAUUAAUGGAUUCAUUAAUCCAAAUUGGCAUAGUCGUAUAUAAAUGAUAUUAAAGAAGUUUUAGGUGACAGAUAAAAUUCUUCUUCUUAUAUUGAUUCCGGGGUCUGUUCUUGUUCGAUCUCUUUUCUUUUUCUAAAGCGCAGGUUUUAUUUGUGAUAUGGGUUGCCAGGUAUAUCUCCGUCUUUUAAAGGGCCUUUCCGGUAGUCUAGUGUCCACUGGCAUUGAAUAAGAUAUAGUCUAAGAGAUAGUCUAUCGCUGUCCACUCGUGUUACAUGCUAGUUUCACUUCUGUCUUUUUUGUUUUCUCCACCGUACGAUAUCCUGUACCUUACAGAGUUCUAUUAUGUCAUUGUUGGGGAUUCUGUCUACAAAUAUUUUCCACCCCAUUGAUCUCAAUAUUCUCACAUCUGUUGUUCUAAGUAUGGUUUUUGUUUCUGCUCCCAUUUCUAUUGAACAUGCCAGUAACGGUCUUGCAUAUGACAUAUAUGCAUAAUUUCCGUCGAGCCUCAUAUACUUGUUUUUUCAAAUAACAUCCAUCAGGCAAGGUGGCUUUAUUUGUCUGCUUCCGUACACUUUCUUUUUUUUUUAACUUUUUUUCAAUACCUAUCCAGAGCGCAACCGACCAGACAAGCCAAUAUUUUGGACGUAAAGAAAAAAAAUAACCAACUACGGAAGUUUCAAAAAGCCAAGACAAAAUCAAAACCCCUUAAAUGAAGAAAAGGAAAUGAAUAUAAUUGAAAACGUAUUGUAAAGUCCAACCACAUACUUAUGAUCAUUAGCUGACGGAACAAAUGCUGGAAAAACUAAAGUUUUGGAUAGUUUUUUUUCAAGCCAUAUCGUACCAAUUAUUUGAAGGACAUGCCGGUAUAAGAAUACAAUUUUGAAACUGGUUUAUCGGAAAAUGCAGUGAGAACAUUAAUUUUCCUUUGUCUAUUGUUUAGAGUGACAAAACGAGAAUUGAAAAUUAAAAAAUAACUCGGUUGGUAGUGGAGAUAUCACCAUGCGGUUUUAAUCAAAAAAUGUUUCUCAAAAAUCGAGCCCUUGGCGUGUAAGUCUAGUUGAGAAAUAUUUUUUUUCUGUUAAAACACUCCAAUUAUGACCACCCUAACCGCAUUUGAUUAAUAAAUACUCGCUGAAUUUGAUCAGACAAGAAUGAUUUCUCAAAGAAACUUCCACAGGCUACUGUAAUACGUUUUACAAAACUCCUGGAUUCCUCCUGCGUCGGUUCUUGCCGAGUCGAACUUACUAACGUUUCGCCAAUCAUCUUGUUGGCUUCUCCAGAGCUUAUAUAUUGUUUAAGGGGGACCGAGCUAAAUGAGGGGCAUAAACACUGUCUCGGAUGAUUGAUUGUCAUAUUGGCCACCUGAGUUGCGGUUAAGAUUUUUAGGUUUUUUAUUUCUAUAGACUUCACGACACCGGGCAUAAAAUUUUAUUCGAUUAAACUAAAAUUCUUGCACGUAAUCAAUUCUUCUACCAACGAAAAAUUCGAGAGUCUUAACCGGGACUUAGGUCUCUACCUGUCACCAAUAUGGGAAUCAUCCGAGACGGUGUUUAUGCGCAUCAUUUACUUCCGCCCCCCUCAAACAAUAUAUAAGCAGGUAUAGAGUAAAAUGCGAGCCAGUUUCAAUCAAGCUCUGAAGAAGCCAACAGCCAACAUGACUGCCGAAAUGUCAGCAAAAACCAACGCAGGAGGAAUGUAAAAGGUAGUAGUAGCCUUUGGAAGUUUAUUUAAAAAAUUUCCUGGAUCACUGCCAUGUCAAAGUUUUUUAGUUUUAGAAUUUGCAAUUAUUACUCAUUAUUUUUUGUAUUCUUGCUUCUCCUAAACGCUGAUUCUUACAUUGCAUUGUUAUAUUAUUUUUAAUUAUCAAGUUAGCUACCAUACCGGAAUAAUGAUAAACAAAUACAAUAAUACUAUAAUAAUAAUAAUAAUAAUAAUUUCACUGCAAUCCCCAUUAUUUUGGUCCUUGGUAACCUGGGUAUGUGUCAAGCUGAUUUUGUCCUCAGUAUUUUGAAAAAAAACAGGAUGUUGAUCGCCAAUGGUGGUUUGGAUGUACGGCUCGAUGCCAGUACUCAUCAGGUAUGACUCGGAAGCUGGUCGACUGCCUAUUUUGAUUUGAUCAAUUUCUUGGUCUCUGUCCAUCAUUUUAGGGAUUCUUAUACAAAUUUCUUGAUCGGUUUGAAUACAUUGGAGAGACCGGACGAAAAAUAUCAACUAGGAUCAAACAACAUGAAAGUAAUCCGAGACGGUGUUUAUGCCCCUCAUUUAGCUCCGCCACAUUCAAACAAUAUAUAAGCAGGUACAGAGUAAAAUGCGAGAUAGUCUCAGUCAAGCUCUGAAGAAGCCAAUAGGAUGAUUAGCGGAGUGUUAGCAAUUUUGACUCAGCAAAAACCGACGCAGGAGGAAUCUAGAAGUUUUGUAAAAAGUAAGAAUGAUUUCAUAAGACUUCGAGCACUAGAAAGUCAGGAUUGAUCAUAUCAAACGUCAGAUUAUCAGAAUCAACGAUAUUCCGCCACAUCUAUUCAGAAUAGUAAUUAAAAAUUUCGAUAAAGGAGUACUUCUACUUUUCUACAGACUUGCUAUAGCUGGCGCGAUGUUGCAAUCUUUUAGUGACGCUCGUCUCCUACGAAGUUUUCGACACCAAAUGGCAUAAAUUAAACACCGAAAGUUUUGUAUCUUAUGUUUUCUCGUCGCGUUGAGGUAAAAUUUACGCCUCUUAAAAUUCUAGACGAAACUUUUAAUCAAAGAUAUCACUUUCAGUCGGCUAAGCGGCGGACUAAUCCGCGAGUUAUCGGAAGUCGGUAAUAAAUUAUAAGAGAAAUUGUUUUCUAGGAAAACGGCGGGCACUUAAUAACAUGCUUAGAAAAUUGAAAGUUAAAUAAGGGGACAAAAAAAAAGGCUCCAGCAUCUCACAGAUUAAUUUGGGUCGCGUAUUAAGUUAAUUAAAAUGCAGUUUGUAAAAGUAAUGGAUUUCGAGCGAAAUUUAUUCGUCGCCGAAGAUGGGCUAAUCUAGGAACGCCAUUUUUGCGAAACGAACGUUUCGCCGAGAAGCGGGAACUUGAUAUAUUCCGAAAUUAGUUUAAAAUAUAUGUUUAAAGUGGAGGGUGCUUCGAAAUUUCUAGGAGUAAUUGAAAGAUAAACACACCGGAAGAAAAUGAAAACAGUGUUUUGAGCUUAUGUCUUAAAUAAACUUCGAUCUCCAUUGAAUUGGGACAAUUCAAACCUCCCGCCAUUGGCGUAUAACAGGAAAAGGAAAAAUUCCAAUGCAAAUUUGGCAAAAAGGAUUUGAUUACAUGCAUGUAAAGAAUAUGUUUUCGUAUUUAAUUUUUUUUUUACAAAGUAAACUUGUUUUAAAAAAUUUUCAUUCAAAAUUUUCUCUGUGUUUGAAUGAAAGCUAUGCCACUUUAAAGGUGGUAUUUUUAAAUAAAUCGCAACUGAUAAAAAACCAACAUUAACAUUUUUAUCUGCUCGUAGGCAGUCACUACAUCAAACCGGUCCAGCGUACUAGUAAGGAAAUUGAACCACCAAAUAUAUGAAUAUAUUGUGAUGUAUUGCGGACUGCAUUAUUAUAAUUAUAUAAAUAUUAAAUAA